rnacentral:rRNA from 1 species
GAUGAACGCUAGCUACAGGCUUAACACAUGCAAGUCGAGGGGUAGCAGGGUAGCAAUACCGCUGACGACCGGCGCACGGGUGAGUAACACGUAUCCAACCUUCCCAUAACUCGGGGAUAGCCUUUCGAAAGAAAGAUUAAUACCCGAUAGUACUUUUUCAAGGCAUCUUGAGAAAGUUAAAGAUUUAUUGGUUAUGGAUGGGGAUGCGUUCCAUUAGAUAGUUGGUGAGGUAUCGGCUCACCAAGUCUUCGAUGGAUAGGGGUUCUGAGAGGAAGGUCCCCCACAUUGGUACUGAGACACGGACCAAACUCCUACGGGAGGCAGCAGUGAGGAAUAUUGGUCAAUGGGCGAGAGCUUGAACCAGCCAAGUAGCGUGAAGGAUGAAGGUCCUAUGGAUUGUAAACUUCUUUUAUAGUAGAAUAAAGUGACCUACGUGUAGGUUUUUGUAUGUAUACUAUGAAUAAGGAUCGGCUAACUCCGUGCCAGCCGCCGCCGUAA